GUGUGAAUCCGCCUGCUCCCGUCACCACACGGCUCAUGCGCACUCGAAGCUUGCUGGUGAAGACGCGAUAAGGUGGUGGCGGGUAAGGUGUAGGACCACCGGCGGUAGCACGUUACCAUGUGAUUUCUUAGCUACCGAGUGGCUUGUGGUAGACAUGAUGACAUCAGGGAACUUAGUGCAAGUGACCACCUGGAUGAAAAGGAGAAAGUUGCACACAAUCUCCUUGUGAUGGGGGGUGAAAAAGAAUCCCAGCAGUUUCCCUGUACCAGUUGGACCAGCAUCCUGCCUGCCCAGGAAACUCCCAAGCUCACCACUAGAGAGAAUGACGAAAGUGGCUUCCAGCUGCCAAAGGAACUGUGGUCCGAUCAGCAGCUUAAAGAUAAAGAAAGAAAGAAAGAUUUGUGCAGUUCUCUCAUCCUGGUCUUGGAAGACAAUAUGCUACUGCCGAGAAGACUGAACAGCUGCUGCUACUAUUACUACACAUUCUAAUCAGACUUCCUAAGAGUAACCCAGUGUGUCAGACUUUGUGAACUUGUAGUGUUGCAAGUAACAAGCAUCCCAACCUUAUAAGAGUUCUAGGACUCCCCACCACAGUGAUGUUUAUUGAAUUUUUAUUUUUUUUUUUUUUAUAAUUUUUUCUGUGGCGAAAAGGGCUCAAGUUGUUCUCCGGAGAGUCUUUUGAGUAUAUAUAUAUAAAAGAAAUAUAGAG
rnacentral:misc_RNA from 1 species